AAAUUGACGGGGACCCGCACAAGCGGUGGAUGAUGUGGAUUAAUUCGAUGCAACGCGAAAAACCUUACCUACCCUUGACAUGUCCGGAAUCCCGAAGAGAUUUGGGAGUGCUCGCAAGAGAACCGGAACACAGGUGCUGCAUGGCUGUCGUCAGCUCGUGUCGUGAGAUGUUGGGUUAAGUCCCGCAACGAGCGCAACCCUUGUCAUUAGUUGCCAUCAUUUGGUUGGGCACUCUAAUGAGACUGCCGGUGACAAACCGGAGGAAGGUGGGGAUGACGUCAAGUCCUCAUGGCCCUUAUGGGUAGGGCUUCACACGUCAUACAAUGGUCGGUACAGAGGGUUGCCAACCCGCGAGGGGGAGCUAAUCCCACAAAGCCGAUCGUAGUCCGGAUCGCAGUCUGCAACUCGACUGCGUGAAGUCGGAAUCGCUAGUAAUCGCGGAUCAGCAUGUCGCGGUGAAUACGUUCCCGGGUCUU
rnacentral:rRNA from 1 species